rnacentral:rRNA from 1 species
AAGAGCUCAAAUUUGAAAGCUGGUACCUUCGGUGCCCGCGUUGUAAUCUCGAGACGCGUUUUCCGCGCGGCGCUAUGGACAAGUUCCUUGGAACAGGACAUCGUAGAGGGUGAAAAUCCCGUACUUGCCAUGGAUGCACCGUGCUUUGUGAUACGUGCUCAAAGAGUCGAGUUGUUUGGGAUUGCAGCUCAAAAUGGGUGGUAGACUCCAUCUAAAGCUAAAUAUCGGGGAGAGACCGAUAGCGAACAAGUACCGUGAGGGAAAGAUGAAAAGCACUUUGGAAAGAGAGUUAAAAGUACGUGAAAUUGUCGAAAGGGAAGCGCUUGAAGUCAGCCAUGCCGCUCAGGACUCAACCUGGCUUUUGCUUGGUGUACUUCCUGGGUAGCAAGUCAGCAUUGGUUUGGACCGUCGGAGAAGCAUGGCAGGAAUGUGACGCCCUCGGGCGUGUUAUAGCCUGCCAUUGGAUACGCCGGUCUAGACCAAGGAACGCAGUGCGCCUUACGGCGGGUCUUCGGACACCUUC